rnacentral:rRNA from 1 species
GAUGAACGCUGGCGGCGUGCCUAAUACAUGCAAGUCGAGCGAACGGACGAGACGCUUGCUUUUCUGAUGUUAGCGGCGGACGGGUGAGUAACACGUGGAUAACCUACCUAUAAGACUGGUAUAACUUCGGGAAACCGGAGCUAAUACCGGAUAAUCUUUUGAACCGCAUGGUUCAAAAGUGAAAGACGGUCUUGCUGUCACUUAUAGAUGGAUCCGCGCUGCAUUAGCUAGUUGGUAAGGUAACGGCUUACCAAGGCAACGAUGCGUAGCCGACCUGAGAGAGUGAUAGGCCACACUGGAGCUGAGACACGGUCAAGACGCCUAAGGGAGGCAGCAGUAGGGAAUCUGACGCAAUGGGCGAAAGCAUGACGGAGCAACGCCGCGUGAGUGAUGAAGGUCUUCGGAGCGUAAAACUCGGUUAUGAGGGAAGAACAUAUGUGUAAGUAACUGUGCACAUCUUGACGGUACCUAGUCAGAAAGCCACGGCUAACUACGUG